CUUCUUCUAGCGCCUUCUUAUUUGGCACCUCGGCGAAGGCAAAAGCAAGAGACCCCACCCUCCGGUUUCUUGGUUUUCUGCCUCAGCUGCCUUGUGUUCCUUUUCUUGCUCUGUUGGAUCUCAUCUCCUUCUUCAGCAUGUCAGCAUCGUCAUCUUUGCCAACAUCGUCAACGUUACCAUUACCAUUAUCUUCAUCAUCAUGACACAUAAGCACUUCUCCCGCCUCUCUCUGCAAUCGUGCACCCUGAAACUCAGCAAUUGGAAGCCGUUUUUCCAAUCUUCCGAUCUUCAUAGCCCAAGCAGUAGCACGACGAAGCAGAAUAUCGACUGCCCAAAUGAAUUUUCCGACCUCCCCACCAAGAAACAGUGCCUAUGUGAUGGCCCCAGUCGCGUUCUUCCCUCAAUUUCGACGCAUGUGGAGGUUCUAGAGAUCCCCAACCUCACUCUCGUGGAUGAAAAUCGAACCAGCAGACUGGUGAAGAAGAUGGCCAGGGGUUUCCGGCGCCCAUGGAAGCGGAGGCGCCGGGCGUCGAGGUCGGCGUCUGGCCGCAGUAGUGGCAAUCGGAGCCGGACGACGGUGGCUACAGUCUCUGCACCGGAUUUCCCCAUCAUGGUCGGGACGGACUCCAGCGGGGAGCUGUUCUUCAAGUUCGACGCCAAUUGGGCUCCGCAUGAGCUGAAGGGCUCUUGCGGGAAGGAGGGGAAGGAGUUCCUUGGUGGUAGAGAAAACUUCUUCUCUUCGAAUUGUUCGUUGCAUAGUGUGGUUGAUUCUCAGAGUCAUGACUCUGGCUACGUUAGUGAACCGGGGUACAAGGGUGAUGUCGAGUAUGGGUAUGGCGAUGAACUUGAUGAGGAGGAAGAAGAUGGUCGGUUCCUGUUUUGGGGUGAUUCAGGCUCCAAGAAAAUGGAGGUUGAAGAUGCUUGGAGAUGCCUCCUCGUGAAAUUAACUUCUGAGGACUCUUAUAGCGUAGCUCACCAGUCCAGCUACUUCUUCAUUUUCAUUUAAUCUCAUUGGUGAAUAUGGGCAUUGGCACAUAUGGAGCUUGUUCUUCUCCCUUCCUCUCAAUCUUUUGACAAUAGGCUUUCCAAUUAUCACCUGCUACUGCUGGCUGUAUCAUUUCACAUUCCUUCCUUCAUUUUAUGCAUUUACAUUGCUCCAUAGCUUAGAAAGGAAGGUGAGAUGGAAUCAUCUUCCUAAUAAACUAUAGCCUGUCUUGCGACUUCUGAGGUUCAUAUAGAAUUGUACAUUAUGUGUCAAGUUCUUGACAUUGCUUAAGCAUCCAAAAGUGUGGGGUCUCCUUUCCCAUUCAUGGGAGAUUGGCUACCUUGGCCAAUGCAAAUUUCAGGUCAACCUGAGUUCCUUUGCAUGCAUUUCUGUUGCAUAUUAUUAACCAAACCAUCUGGUAUCUACAUGAGGUCUCAUCUAGGUUCAGUGAUGUAGGAGAAUGUUUCAAUAUGUUUCAUGUAAUAGUGAUAUAGCAAAUAGUAAAAGUGUAUAAGUUAUAUGGGUUUUAGGAUGUACGUCUGACUUCGCCUAUAGGUAUUUGGUAGUCUGUAUUGAGUGUUUGGAUUUGACGUGGCUACCUAAAUAUCAUAUCUGUAUCAGAUUCAGCCUAGCCUUGUCUUAUAAAGGACAAAUGAAAUUCAAUGAGGAACUACUCUUUCCUGAGAGUUCCGUGGAUUCUUUAGAGUUCUCUUCCUUCUAUAUAAUAAAAGAAACUUGUGUUUUCUUCACCAUCUUGUCUACCCUUGUUCCAAUGUCAAGAACUGCCAUACCUCUGUUGUUUUUCGUGGAUUGACCUCAUCGAGUGGGAUCACAAUGUGCUUGCAUGUUUAUAGGUGAAACAGGAAAAUCCUCUCCUAUUCUUCAGGUCCUCCAGUCUUGUUUCCUGAAUAUGUUUGCUGGAUUAGCAGAUGCAACUUUCUUGUGUGUUGGUGGAUAGCUCCUGCAUGCACGCACAGUUGAAAUUCACCAGUGCGACCAAGUUAAGAUCGAAUGGAAGAUGUUGCUGUAGAUGUAGUUGCAGAGCAGAAGAGUUACCACAGAUGCAGGCAUAAGAAGGGUGACUGCAGAAUGGUUGUUUCGUAGAUGCGAAUGUGAUUAGCUCAGCCUCCAUUAGAAUCCAUCUCCUUACUGAACAGUACGCAGUGAAAAUUAUUUGACUUGGAAACAUCUUAUUACAUGCACCAUUUGCAGUUCGCUAUGCUAAUUCCUAACCUUCAUCACUGCCCUCGUCAGUCAAUGUAAAAGUUUUGCAGCUGCCUCUUUUUUUUUCCCCUCUCUCUAAGGCCAAAUCGGGGCCUACAUUUGUGAUUAAAUUCAUUAUUUUCUAUCAGGAAUGUAAUCGUCUUUUACA